rnacentral:rRNA from 1 species
GGGGGACCUGAUCCGCCAUGCCGCGUGUGUGAAGAAGGCCUUUUGGUUGUAAAGCACUUUAAGCGAGGAGGAGGCUACUAGUAUUAAUACUACUGGAUAGUGGACGUUACUCGCAGAAUAAGCACCGGCUAACUCUGUGCCAGCAGCCGCGGUAAUA